UACGUAGGGGGCUAGCGUUGUCCGGAAUCAUUGGGCGUAAAGCGCGCGUAGGCGGCCAGAUAAGUCCGGUGUGAAAGUCACAGGCUCAACCUGUGAAUGCCGCUGGAAACUGUCUGGCUAGAGUCCGGAAGGGGCGAGUGGAAUUCCUGGUGUAGCGGUGAAAUGCGCAGAUAUCGGGAAGAACACCCGUGGCGAAGGCGGUUCUCUGGGACGGUACUGACGCUGAGACGCGAAAGCGUGGGGAGCGAACAGG
rnacentral:rRNA from 1 species